AAAAGUCAGAUGUGUCAAUUUUAUUUUUAGAAACGGUUGCAGUCACAAAGUUAUUGACAGAAUAAAAUGUAAAUUUCAGCAUAUUUUUUCACACAAAAAUGUGUUAGUGCGUAGAAAUGUGAUCAGGCUGAGCACAUGGCCUUAUGGAUUUCAUGAUUUUCGGCGCUUAACGUGAAAACAGCUAAAGCACAGGAUUCACGAACAUUAAAUUUAUGCUUAAAUCUAUAUGCGAUACAUUAUGCAUAUAAUUAUAAUUCACGAUAAUAUCGCAUAUGGAAGUAACUGGAAUAAAUUUGGACUAUUUCCUUCGGAAGUUUACAGGACUGUCCUGUCAAAAUGCCUCCCUCGUGUUUACAUAUUUUGACAGGUCGAGUUGUUCAAUGAUGAAGAUAUAAAUUUAUUCAAAGAAAUAAUGGGACAAUGAAUGCUAAAAUUGCCAAGAAGAAGACUCCAAUUUACACACCAUUUUAUACAGGUUACUGUAUGAUAUGGUGAACAAAACCUCAAUGCAGCCAGUUCUGGAGCUUUGGCUAGACUAUGAACAGUAGACAUCAAAAGAUGGUCAUCUGAAGGGCCACAAUUGUUUAAAGCACUGGUCAACAAAAACUGAACUAUUUGAUGGAUCAUACAUCUGCAGAAUGUACUACCAUAUUUCCAGAAUCAGAGAAAUAGAAAUAUCAAGUAUUAGAGAGGAAGAAAAGUAUGCAUCAUGAAUGAAGAACUGCCUAAGAAUAAUUUGCAAAAUACAUUGAAAUCUAACAAUUGCUGAUUGCAUAAGAAAGUUAAGAAAGGUGUACUCUUCUGGAAAAUAUGUGUCCAGUGCAACAUUUCUUUUCCAAUUUUGUGAGCAUAAUUCUGAAUAAAAAGUGCAACAUGGCUACAGGGAUAAUACAAAAGGUUUAAUCUUAUUUCCAAACACAUUGGGGGAAUCAGAGAAGAAAUAUCAAGAAUUAGGGAAAAAGAAAUAAUUGUCAUGAAUGAAGAACUUGCUUUUUAUUAAUUUACAAAAUACUUUUUAUCCUCACAACUGUUAAUGAUAUUAUGAAUAUGGAAGUUAAAAGUGUGGACUUUGAUUAAUCUUCAACUUCUCUGAGCAUAGUUCUACAUAAAAGUUGUAACUUUAUAAAAUAGUCUUGUAGAAAAAGUGUAAGACUUUCAUACUUGUUUUAUAGAAAAUGUUUCUGGAUGUUUCAAUGUAAGUUUGCUAGACCCAGACCACUAGCUCCUAAGUCAAGGUUACACUUAGAUGUCAAAGGUUAAACAUGUCUGUUUCUGUCUGGUCAAUAACUGCCAUACAUAAAGGGAUUUUGGAAUUACUCGGCAUAAAUGUUCACCAUAAAGAGACAACUUGUUAUGCACAAGACACAAACCCUUGCUCCAAGGUCAAGGUCACACUUAGAGGUCAAAGGUUAAUAGGGUCUUUUUGGUGUCUGGUCAAUAGCUCUGCGAUCCAUGAAGGGACAUUUAGAUAACUUGGCAUAAAUGUUCACCAGAAUGAUACCAGGUGUCAUGCUCAAAACCAAGACCCCUAGCUCGAAGGUCACACUUGGAGGCCAAAGGUCAGAUACAAAAAUGACUUUGUCCAUAGCAUUUCUUGUUCAUGCAUGGAGGGAUUUUGAUGUACAAUGGCAAAAAUAUUCAUCAACAUGAGAUGGUGUGUGAUGAGUAAGAACCAGGCCCCUAAUCCUUUGCUGUUACUAUAAAUAGCUAUUACUGUAAACUUCUAUUCUAUAUACCCUUAUCAUGCUGAACAUGAUUUGUUCUGUCUUUGCGACCAGUGUAGAUCAUGAUCAGCCUGCACAUCCAUGCAGUCUGAUGAUGAUCAGCACUGUUCGCCAUUCAACCAGUACAUUUUUGGUAAGCAUCCCGUUUAACAGUUAAUGGUACUGUCCAAAUUGAAAAAUGGACAAGUUCAUUAUAGAAAUUCAGCAGGGUAAGGGUUAAUAUUAGCCCUAGGAGAAAAUUGGGACUACUUUUCUGUAGAACAACACGCAUGUUACAUCCAAUUUUUGAUGUAUUUUGACGUAAGGCUGCCUGAUAAGUACUUUUGUGUGGACUUAGAUUUUUUUCAGAUUAACUUCUCUUUGUUGUCACUAUAAACAAUAUAUAGACAACUUUUUUAUAAUUGACCGUAGGGAGAAAUCAAGACCAUUUUUAGCUCCACUAUUGGGAGAAUAGGGGGGGGGGGGGGGGGGUUAUACUACUCGCCCCGGCGUCGGCGUUACCCUUCUUGGUUAAAGUUUUUCGGCGACCUUUGUUUUUCUGUCAUAUCUUUGUUACUAUUGCUUGUAUCUUACUGUAACUUCUCAUAAACAUUGUCCAGUAUACAAACAAUAUAUGUGUAGGGGCUGAGCCCAUUAUACCCAAGGUCAAUGUCACCAAGGUGUUAUACUUGGGUUAUUUUUAAGGUUAAAGUUUUUCGGCAACCUUUGUUUUCUGUCAUAUCUUUGUUACUAUUGCUUAUAUCUUACUGUAACUUCACAUAAACAUUGUCCAGUAUACAAACAAUAUAUGUGUAGGGUCUGAGCCCAUUAUACCCAAGGUCAAGGUCACCAAGGUGUUAUACUUAUAGGUUAUUUUUAAGGUUAAAGUCUUUCGGCAACCUUUGUUUUUCUGUCAUAUCUUUGUUAAUAUUGCUUAUAUCUUACUGUAACUUCACAUUAACAUUGUCCAGUAUAAAAACAAAGUUUGUGUAGGGGCUGAGCCUAUUAUACCCAAGGUCAAGGUCACCAAGGUGUUAUACUUAGUUUAUUUUUAAGGUUAAAGUUUUUCGGCAACCUUUGUUUUUCUGUCAUAUCUUUGUUACUGUUGCUUAUAUCUUACUGUAACUUUACAUAAACAUUGUCCAGUAUACAAACAAAGUAUGUGCAGGGCCCAUUGUACCAAAGGUCAAGGUCACCAAGGUCUUACACUUAGGUUAUUUUUAUGGUUAAAGUUUUUCGGCAGCCUUUGUUAUUCUGUCAUAUCUUUGUUACUUUUGCUUAUAUCAUACUGUAAGUUCAACUUUGUCCAGCUUACAAACAAAGUAUGUGUAAGGGCUGGGCCCAUUAUACCCAAGGUCAAGGUCACCAAGGUGUUAUACUUAGGUUAUUUUUAAGGUUAAAGUUUUUCGGCAACCUUUGUUUUUCUGUCAUAUCUUUGUUACUGUUGCUUAUAUCUUACUGUAACUUUACAUAAACAUUGUCCAGUAUACAAACAAAGUAUGUGCAGGGCCCAUUGUACCAAAGGUCAAGGUCACCAAGGUCUUACACUUAGGUUAUUUUUAUGGUUAAAGUUUUUCGGCAGCCUUUGUUUUUCUGUCAUAUCUUUGUUACUUUUGCUUAUAUCAUACUGUAAGUUCAACUUUGUCCAGCUUACAAACAAAGUAUGUGUAAGGGCUGGGCCCAUUAUACCCAAGGUCAAGGUCACCAAGGUGUUAUACUUAGGUUUUUUUUAAGGUUAAAGUUUUUCGGCAACCUUUGUUUUUCUGUCAUAUCUUUGUUACUGUUGCUUAUAUCUUACUGUAACUUUACAUAAACAUUGUCCAGUAUACAAACAAAGUAUGUGCAGGGCCCAUUGUACCAAAGGUCAAGGUCACCAAGGUCUUACACUUAGGUUAUUUUUAUGGUUAAAGUUUUUCGGCAGCCUUUGUUUUUCUGUCAUAUCUUUGUUACUUUUGCUUAUAUCAUACUGUAAGUUCAACUUUGUCCAGCUUACAAACAAAGUAUGUGUAAAGGCUGGGCCCAUUAUACCCAAGGUCAAGGUCACCAAGGUGUUAUACUUAGGUUUUUUUUAAGGUUAAAGUUUUUCGGCAACCUUUGUUUUUCUGUCAUAUCUUUGUUACUGUUGCUUAUAUCUUACUGUAACUUUACAUAAACAUUGUCCAGUAUACAAACAAAGUAUGUGCAGGGCCCAUUGUACCAAAGGUCAAGGUCACCAAGGUCUUACACUUUGGUUAUUUUUAUGGUUAAAGUUUUUCGGCAGCCUUUGUUUUUCUGUCAUAUCUUUGUUACUUUUGCUUAUAUCAUACUGUAAGUUCAACUUUGUCCAGCAUACAAACAAAGUAUGUGUAAGGGCUGGGCCCAUUAUACACAAGGUCAAGGUCACCAAGGAGUUAUACAUAGAAUUAUUUUCAUGUUUUUUUUUCCGAAAGCUUUGUUUAUAGACAUAUCUUUGGUAUUUUAAAAGAUAAUGACUUGAAAUUAAAAGUAUUUGUUUAUGAUCAUCUGCAUGUGCAGCUACAUACCUCAUAACUCUAAUUGUGUUUUGAUAGAAUUAUGUCCCUUUUGUACUUAAACUUUUUUGCAAUCUUCGCUCUCUGAAUACUACUUUAAUGCAAUAUAAGAUAAAGACUUGAAACUUUAAAUGUAUCUUUAUCAUCAUCAUCUGCAUGUGUGGUAACAAUCCCCAUAACUCUGAUUUGUAUUUUUGACCAAAUUAUGCCCCUUUUAUACUUAAAUUUUUUACAAACUUUGUUUUCUGGACAUAAAUUUGGUGCUAUAUAAGAUAAUGACUUGAAACUCAAAAUAUAUCUUUAUCAUCAGCAUCUGCAUGUGUUGUAACAAUCCUAAUAACUCAUAUUUGUGUAUUUAAUGGAAUAUGCCCCUUGGUGUAUCUUCCUUUUAAAGUAGAGGUGUCUUAUUCAGACAUAUAUUCAUUUUACUGUCAAAUCCCCGAACAGUGGAGCGCGCUGUCUUAUGGACAGCUCUUGUUCUGUGUUACUUUCAAAUUUUAGGUGUAUUUUAAGGUACGUCUUCUGGUAAGGAGUUUUUUGUAGACUUAAAAAAUAAAAACUUACUUCCCUUUGUUGCUACUAUAUAAAACGAUUAUUCUUGAAACUUUUUACGCUGGUUGUUAGAAUUGGAUAUGUCACUGUUUUGGCUUUCUGUCUACCAAACUUAUAGUUUUGUACAGAAAAUGUUCUAUUAUAUCAUCUUUCUGACGAGCAUAUAUCCUGGCACUCUUGUUUUAUUUUGUUCAUGCCAAGACGCUGUAUUGGCAUACAGUAUGUAUGAUGAAAAUGUCCUUAGGCAGGGGACGUUGCUAACUCUAUUACAAAUUCUUGUUGUUUUUUCUGGAGUUGUUGCCCUAUUUGAUCUUGAACUAAUUCAUCACAUCGUGAACUCGUGAACUUAACUCGAACAAAUCCAUCCAACUGAAUUGAAACUAGGUAUACAUCAGAAGCAUGAAAUGAAUAUGUACAUGUUGCCCUGACUUUUAAGAUCGAUUAUUUUGUCUGGAGUUGUGGCCCUUCUUUAACGACGGAUGACAACUACAUUGUAGUUUCCUUCUCUUCAUUUCAAAUAAAACUUGUUAAGCAUCAUAAACAUUAUGUAGACAUG